GGAAAGACUGAAAGGAUAUGAGGUAAAGAGGUUAUGUAAGAGGGCAGAAGUCAUGUUAGGAGAAAGUAGAAAAGAUGGGAAUGAAUAAACCAUGAUACUGAGAAGCACAGACGUUGAGGAAGCCAGCUAAAGGGGACUGCUCCCUCUGGAGACCCCUAGAACUAGGCUUUGUGGGACUCAAUCUUACUCCAUUUCAUAUACUUCUUGAGAGAGGUCUUCGUGUUAUCUCUGCUUUUCCCAAGGAGUAUUCCUGAAGACGCGUUUGUGUUUUUGCAAGUAAAAAGUAAACUUCAAUUAUUAGAGCCAAUAGCCAAUGUGGAGGGAAUUUCUUCAUCUUGGAACAGAUAGACAGCCUAAAUUAAAUGGAGGAUGUAUCUGAUAAAUAUGUAUAAAACUACUUCCUUCCAUUUCUGCUACACACCUGCUCACACUUUAUUCAUUUAUUAAGAUGUCCAUUUGUCCUGGAUCAUAAGAAGAAAAAAGUCCUGGAAGGAAACUUGUUAGAAAAAUGAACAGUGUUUCCUCGAUGACACAGAAGCCACUUUUAAUGAUGUUAUUUCAAUUGAUAUAUUCAAGAGACUAGCAAAACUGCUUUAUAAAUAAAUGUUAUUCAUGUGACACUAAGAACAAAAUACUUAAAUAUCCCUGAUCUGUGGAAGCCAAGGAAUAUACUGAAAGGUUUCUACCUGAUUUAGGAUUCUUUUCAACUUGCCCCACAGCAAUACAAUGUAACAGAAAUAGAGAUGGAGAAGGCUGGUGGCUGGAUAGAGAUUUCAGAAUUUUCCUGGAUAGGAUCAAACAAAUGGACACAAAAAAUCUCAAACAGUCAUAAAAUUUUAUAUAAAUUUUACAUAAAGGCAAAAGCUUGAAAUCUCCUGAAACAGUAAAGACCAUGACUCGAAAAGGCGUAGAAUAAGAGCAGUUCAGGGGUGUGUGAACACACUCACGUGCAUGAGCGUGUGCCCUCUCUCUCUCAAGAGGUACUAAGAUUUGAGUGAUGCAGACCAAACCAGAAGACUGAUAGAUCAUUUUCCUAAGUAUAUAUUAGAUAAAGAGAAAAUUAGAAAGAAAAGUCUAACUUCUACACUAUGCUGCUUAUUGUUGGUACCUGCUAUUGUGUUCUGAUAACUGUACGUAUUUUGUUUUCAUAUUGUAGCUUCGGUCAUUCUCAAAGAUUAUUUUAAUUGUCACAAAAAUUUGAAAAUCACUUGAGGAAUUUUUACAGAAAUCGUGGCAGAGUGACCUCUAUUUGCUUACGUUUAUUAGUAUCCAAAGUAAGUUGAAGAGAGAUGUAGCUGCCACUUUGUACGUGCAUCUAGAAAUUCUGUGUGUUAUAUAGGCAUAUAUUUGAACUUUCACUUUGAAUGCGUUGAAAAAACAAUAAGGAUAAAACUGGCACUGCAUCAGUGAUUGAUCAAAGCAUUGAAGUAGGAGAAAAGAUGAAUGCCUUUUAAUACAUUGUGACUUAACAGAAACAACAUAUGCAAUAUACAUAAGCCCAGGCCCUUCAGACACUAACAAGACACUUACUUCUUCCUCCACCUCCCCCCUUUUAUUUUAGGGCUGCACGUGAAGCAUAUGGAGGUUCCCAGGCUUGAGGUUGAAUUGGAGCUGCAGCUGGCAGCCUACACCACAGCCGUAGCAAUGUAGGAUCUGAGUUGCAUCUGCAGUCUACACCACGGCUAACAGCAAUGCUGGAUCCUUAACCCACUGAGCAAGAUCAGGGAUUGAACCUGCAUCCUCAUAGAUACUAGUUGGGUUCAUUACCACUGAGCCACAACAGGACUCCUUCUUUCCCCUUUUCUUAAUCUAUUUCUAUCAUGCCUACCUCCAAACAUGUGUUUACAGUCAAGUCCGUUAGAACUAAUUUCAUUGUCUUUCUUUUUGCAAUCAACUAAAUGACAAAGAAACUAUCUAAUGAAAUCUGAGAUUUUUAAAGUAGGUUGUUCUAGAUACACUGUCAAAAAAUAGGCCCUAAAUUGUUUCCAAAACAAUUAAUGAAUAUAUAAUAAUAAUAAUUGUAGACAAUAUAAAGGCACAAACUAUUUAGUGUCUGUCAACCAUCAUAAGCAGUUUUAUAUAAUCUGAAAAUAAAAAUAGAGCUUAUUUUAAUUAUUCCACUAAAUCCUUUUCUUUUUGUAUAAUAAAAAUAUGUCAUGUUCUACUUCUUUCUCAGAUUAAAUAGAAUUUUGUUUGUGUAUUGGAGUCUGACUCUUUCAACCUCUGUUUUUAUUCUCAAAGAUUGAAAUUAUUUUCUUUUCUGAAUAUAAAUUUAGGCCCUUUACUUUCAAUCUAAACCUCAAAUCUGUUUGAGGAAAACAGCCCCCCUUGGCAAAGGGAUUGUUUAAAUCCACACACAAAAAGGGCAACUUGUAUAUAUGAAGAGAGCUAUUGUAUGCACAUAAUAAUGACAUGUUUUUUGGAGUUCUCUUGGUGGCUCAGCAGUUAACGAACAAGACUAGCAUCCAUGAGGUUUGAUCCCUGGCCUCACUCAGUGGGUUAAGGAUCUGGCAUUGCUGUGAGCUAUGGUGUAGGUGGCAGACGUGUGGCUUGGAUCCCGUGUUGCUAUGGCUGUGGCAUAGGCUGGCAACUGCAGCUCCAAUUUGACCCUUAGCCUGGGAACUGCCAUUUGCCACAGGUAUGGCCCUAAAAAGAAGAAAAAAAAAAAAA
ensembl:lncRNA